rnacentral:rRNA from 1 species
GACGUAGGGGGCCAGCGUUGCUCGGAAUUACUGGGCGUAAAGCGCACGCAGGUGGCUGAGUCAGUCGAUUGUGAAAGCCCUGGGCUUAACCUGGGAAUUGCAGUCGAUACUACUCGGCUAGAGUAUGGGAGAGGGCAGUGGAAUUCCCGGUGUAGCGGUGCAAUGCGUAGAUAUCGGGAGGAACUUCAGUGGCGAAGGCGGCUGCCUGGCCCAAUACUGCCUCUCAUGUGCGACAGCGUGGGGAGCAAACAGG